rnacentral:tRNA from 2 species
GGGGCAUUAGCUCAGUUGGGAGAGCGUCUGGAUGGCAUCCAGAAGGUCAGGGGUUCAACUCCCCUAUGCUCCACCA